rnacentral:lncRNA from 1 species
CCCCUAUACUGACAUGUGCACCUCUUUACCAUAUAGCCUCUUAGGCCAAGUGCUUAAGCUAUUAUCUUCAUUAUGCAGCUUCAACUCCUACUCAUCCCUCGUUGGCUUGCCAUCGAAGUUAAAGGUGAAGCUAGCAAUGCCAGACAUUCCCUCAGAAGUCGUGCAUUUGGUUGACUCCACCGUCAAUCACAAAGAAGGCAGAGAGCAUCAAAUCAAUGGUGUUAGAUGGUGGUGUCUACAAUCCCAAGGAUGAAUCACG